GCCUCCGAAGCAUUGCGGUGAUGUCGCCGAUUCUUGAUCGGUGGAGCAGGGUUCGAAUCCUUGCGGAGGCA
rnacentral:tRNA from 1 species